rnacentral:lncRNA from 1 species
AUGGAGCCCAGGCGCCGGCGGGCCUUUCUGGAACAAGGAAAGGGAGUGGAAGCUUUGGCGGUGCAGCUGGCGAUCCGUUUCGGAUUCCUCAUUCUUUGUUGUGAUUACUUUGCGCGGAUUUGGCCUGAUAACAAACGCUCUUCGUGCCUGCCUGUUUCCCGGUCUGGGCUCAGCACCGAGGAUUACUACCCACCCCCGACCCCCCAACCCCUAUUACAGAUUUUGCUUUGGAGAAGCACUGGGGCAGAGUUUGGUACAGCCGCUGUGAGCACUAAUGCAGUUGCCCUGCUCCUGAGCUACCUUGGUGUCACACCUGCUCCACCUGCUGGCCAAACGUUGUCACUAAAUCUACACGACCCAAUUCUCUGAGGAUCGAAACUCUGGUGAAUCGCUUGAGAACGUUUAAACGAUGACCACAAACCUCCCGGGUAGUUCAUGGAGAAACCCCUGACAGAUUACCCCACUGACCACUGCGUCAGAAGCUGAUAAGCAGGAUCCUUGUGAAGGGUCAGCAACUGCCAUUUACUUGGACAAGAUUGAUUAGCACAUCCUGAGGUCUGAGGGUUUUACAACCGGUAGGUCAGGAGGCCAUCUGAUUCCCAGCCCUCCCCUCAAGACAAAGGGCCUCCUAGGAACCCAUGACUCUGGUCACCUACUUAAUGGUCAGAGGGUUGUGGCCCCUCCCUAAGCUUGUGGUCUUUGCCUUUAAAAACGCCUGUGCCUGGAGAUCAGGGCUUCUCUCUAGCCUGCGUGCUGAGGGGGCCCGUUUGUACAAACGUUCACCAUUCAUUAAAGCUUCUUGCAUGUUCAUUAAUUGGACUGGAUAUUGAGUUCUUGGGGGACCGUAAGGUUGGAGAUCCCUCAAUCUGAGGGUCUUUCAGACUGA